rnacentral:sRNA from 1 species
AAAGAUUACAAAAUAUCUCUAUCCGUGAUGUUCUCGCGAUGCAAACCACAUUUGCAAUAUUAUAAUCAUAUAUAUGAAAGUUGGACAACUCUCUCUAUAUGAUUGACACAUCAUCACUUUUACAUUUGCCAUGUGUCCACUAAAUAAUUAAUGUAAGCUCUUCAACUUUUAAUAAUGUAUUUAUU